AUACAGGGGGUGCGAGCGUUAAUCGGAAUUACUGGGCGUAAAGAGUACGUAGGCGGUUGCUUAAGUCAGAUGUGAAAGCCCCGGGCUCAACCUGGGAACUGCAUUUGAAACUGAGUGACUAGAGUUUAAGAGAGGGGAGUAGAAUUCCGGGUGUAGCGGUGAAAUGCGUAGAGAUCCGGAGGAAUACCAGUGGCGAAGGCGGCUCCCUGGCUUAAAACUGACGCUGAGGUACGAAAGCGUGGGUAGCAAACAGGAUUAGAAACCCGAGUAGUCC
rnacentral:rRNA from 1 species